UUUUUCUUUGUUUUUUUUGUUCUCUUUUUUAUUUUUCGCCUGUUCGCAAGCAGGGUGGAGGCUGUGAGGUUCCAGACUAACGACUGGUAAGCUUGUACGAACUUUUGUCUUUGGGCGUAGGUGAUAACUCUUAUGGA
rnacentral:ribozyme from 12 species